rnacentral:pre_miRNA from 1 species
GUAGGGAAAAGGAAGCCAUGAGUAUCUCGGAGCAGUGGGCAUGGGAACAUGGUGGAAAGCCUAGACUUCUCGCCCUCUCAAUUUAGGGGCCACGAUUGUUUUGUGUUUUCCUGAUGACUCACAUGCCUAUUGUUCUUAAGUAUUCCUUCCUUCUUCUAUUGGCU